UGCAGCUGCUAAUACAGUAGCGGGUGCAGCUGCUAAUACAGUAGCGGGUGCAGCUGCUAAUACAGUAGCAGGUGCAGCUGCUAAUACAGUAGCAGGUGCAGCUGCUAAUACAGUAGCAGGUGCAGCUGCUAAUACAGUAGCAGGUGCAGCUGCAUAUUUUUGCAAUAAAAAUGUUAUGUUGUAAUGGAAUUCAUGCAUUAGUUUUGUUUGCUUUGAACCCAGAGCAGACGUCACACGCCAGACGACAUCAACACUGCAUAAUUUAGUAUUUGUUCAUUUAUCGUGAGUAAUAUCGAUAUCGCAAUAUUAAGCACUGUUAUCGGAUAUCGCAGGUUUUCCUAAUAUCGUGCAGCCCUAGUAGUCCCUAAUAGAGACAACAUAGCCCCUGUCUUUGAGAUGGGACUGGAACCAGCCCAGCACUGUGCCUGGUAGUCCCACCCAGUGUGAGUCUGUCCAGAAGGAUGUCGUGGUCCACAGUAUCAAAAGCUGCACUGAGGUCAAGCAUCAUCAGGACAGGUGCUUCACCUGAAUCCGUGUUGAGACGAGUGUCGUUUAAUACCUGAUCAGUGCCGUCUCUGUGCUGUGGUGCUGUCUACAGCCUGACUGAAGACCGUCCAUGAUGUUAUUUGACUCUAAACAGUUGUUUAUUUGGAUCAGUACCGCCUUUGCAAUGUUUCCAUCAGAGGGAGGUUAGAGAUGGGUCAGUAGUUGUUCAACACCGAGGAUCUAGUUUCACAGCAGCAGUUUUCAGUGGUUUAGGAGAAAGACCUGAUGUUAAAGAGCAGUUAACUAUCUCCAAUACCUCAGUUUUCAGGCUACUAAAACAUUUUAAAGAAGUUAGUCGGCAGGCUGUCCAGACAGCAGGUAGAGGGUUAGGGUAGGGUAAAUGUAGGGUCUUUACUACGCCGUUCAGUGUUUCAGUACCAAUCAGGCUGAAAGGUGGCGUUGUGGCCAGGUUGUUGCUGCGUGGCUGUGUCGGUGGUCUGGAUGUGUUAGCUGAUGUAGAGGAAUGAAAGGCAGAUCUGAUGUUUGUGAUUAUUUCAUUAAA